UUAUAUUGUGGUCGCUAGGAACCAUAGCAGUUUAUUAAUCUAUGAUUUGUUAAUUGGUAUCACUUCAGAAGUAAUUGGUCCUUUGCAGGUUAAAGGAACAAUGAAUGAAGGAAAUGAUAUAUCCUUUUGUAGGGUGUAUGUCUUUUGCAGAUUUGCUGCAAGUCAUAUGCAUAUUAAUUCUAUUUCUUGGAUUAAUCAAAGCUUAUAAGUAAUGCAAUGCUCUCGAGGAUGCAAGUAUGUCUCGAGGAAUUUUUGGGGAUUUGUUGUUAAAUAAAUAUACUGCUUUGUUGUUUUUAGAUGGUUUCACUACUACAAAAACAUUAUCAGACAACACUCAUCAGACAACCUUUUAGGGUUCCCUACUUGUUUGAUGAAGUGAACUGUUAUAUACAACGCAAAGUUACAAAGUUUUGUUGUCUGAUGACACAAAAUUGUCAAGUUAUAUUUCAAGAGUUCAAAAUACAACAAUGAUGCUAAUUUUAUGUUGUAUGAUUAAUGAAAAUUUUGGCGGAAGGAUUCCCCCCAUCACCAAAUUGAAAGUCGUGCAAGAUGCAAAAUGUUUGGACAAUAGACUUUUAUUUCUUUGUUGUAUGAUGUUGUUACAAUAUAUACUAGGUAAUACCUAGCUAGUGCAAGUUUAGAAAAUAUAUACAACAGUUUAAAACAUUUGGUUGUGUGACUGGAAAAUCUGGUGGCAUGCCAAAGUUGUUUUGGCUCCAAAGUUUGCCUCCAUCGAUUUGGUGUGCUAUGCCAAAAUAGUUUUGGCUCCAAAGUUUCCCUCCGAGUAUAUAUUCUGUUGUGUGAAAAAAGUUGACAAAUUUAAUAUCGUACCCACCAACCCUAAACGCUAGUCUCACACUCUCACUCUCUCGCAUUCAUAUCGUUGUCUCUCUCUCCCUCGCAUUCAUUCACCCUN
rnacentral:lncRNA from 1 species